GGAGGGAUCAUUACAAGUGACCCCGGUCUAACCACCGGGAUGUUCAUAACCCUUUGUUGUCCGACUCUGUUGCCUCCGGGGCGACCCUGCCUUCGGGCGGGGGCUCCGGGUGGACACUUCAAACUCUUGCGUAACUUUGCAGUCUGAGUAAACUUAAUUAAUAAAUUAAAACUUUUAACAACGGAUCUCUUGGUUCUGGCAUCGAUGAAGAACGCAGCGAAAUGCGAUAAGUAAUGUGAAUUGCAGAAUUCAGUGAAUCGUCGAAUCUUUGAACGCACAUUGCGCCCCCUGGUAUUCCGGGGGGCAUGCCUGUUCGAGCGUCAUUUCACCACUCAAGCCUCGCUUGGUAUUGGGCAACGCGGUCCGCCGCGUGCCUCAAAUCGACCGGCUGGGUCUUCUGUCCCCUAAGCGUUGUGGAAACUAUUCGCUAAAGGGUGUUCGGGAGGCUACGCCGUAAAACAACCCCAUUUCUAAGGUUGACCUCGGAUCAGGUAGGGAUACCCGCUGAACUUAAGCAUAUCAAUAAG
rnacentral:rRNA from 1 species